CUUGGUCAUUUAGAGGAAGUAAAAGUCGUAACAAGGUCUCCGUAGGUGAACCUGCGGAGGGAUCAUUACACAAUAAAAUACGAAGGCCGUUCGCGGCUGGACUAUUUAUUACCCUUGUCUUUUGCGCACUUGUUGUUUCCUGGGCAGGUUCGCUCGCCACCAGGACCACAAUAUAAACCUUUUUUAUGCAGUUGCAAUCAGCGUCAGUAUAACAAAUGUAAAUCAUUUACAACUUUCAACAACGGAUCUCUUGGUUCUGGCGUCGAUGAAGAACGCAGCGAAAUGCGAUACGUAGUGUGAAUUGCAGAAUUCAGUGAAUCAUCGAAUCUUUGAACGCACAUUGCGCCCUUUGGUAUUCCAAAGGGCAUGCCUGUUCGAGCGUCAUUUGUACCCUCAAGCUUUGCUUGGUGUUGGGCGUUUUUGUCUUUGGCCCGCCAAAGACUCGCCUUAAAAUGAUUGGCAGCCGGCCUACUGGUUUCGCAGCGCAGCACAUUUUUGCGCUUGCAAUCAGCAAAAGAGGACGGCAAUCCAUCAAGACUCCUUCUCACGUUUGACCUCGGAUCAGGUAGGGAUACCCGCUGAACUUAAGCAUAUCAAUAAGCGGAGGA
rnacentral:rRNA from 1 species